rnacentral:rRNA from 1 species
UACGUAGGGCGCAAGCGUUGUCCGGAAUUAUUGGGCGUAAAGAGCUCGUAGGUGGCUUGUCGCGUCUGCCGUGAAAGCUCAUGGCUUAACUGUGGGUCUGCGGUGGAUACGGGCUGGCUAGAGGUAGGCAGGGGCAAGCGGAAUUCCUGGUGUAGCGGUGAAAUGCGCAGAUAUCAGGAGGAACACCGGUGGCGAAGGUGGCUUGCUGGGCCUUGCCUGACGCUGAGGAGCGAAAGCGUGGGGAGCGAACAGG